UACGUAGGGUGCAAGCGUUAAUCGGAAUUACUGGGCGUAAAGCGUGUGCAGGCGGUUAUAUAAGACAGUUGUGAAAUCCCCGGGCUCAACCUGGGAACUGCAUCUGUGACUGUAUAGCUAGAGUACGGUAGAGGGGGAUGGAAUUCCGCGUGUAGCAGUGAAAUGCGUAGAUAUGCGGAGGAACACCGAUGGCGAAGGCAAUCCCCUGGACCUGUACUGACGCUCAUGCACGAAAGCGUGGGGAGCAACAGG
rnacentral:rRNA from 1 species